rnacentral:rRNA from 1 species
UACGUAGGGGGCUAGCGUUGUCCGGAAUCAUUGGGCGUAAAGGGCGCGUAGGUGGUUCUGUAUGUCUACCGUGAAAGCAUACAGCUCAACUGUAUUUUGUCGGUAGAAACUGCAGGACUUGAGGCUGGGAGGGGCUGGUGGAAUUCCCUGUGUAGCGGUGAAAUGCGUAGAGAUGGGGGAGAACACUCGUGGCGAAGGCGGCCAGCUAGACCAGUUCUGACACUGAGGCGCGACAGCGUGGGGAGCAAACAGG